rnacentral:lncRNA from 1 species
GUUCAUAUUCACCCCCAGGAAGAAUAUGCUAUGUGUUUUUUUCUUUUUUUUUCUUCACAUUUUCUGACAAGCGAGCGCUUAGAUAUUGUCUUUUUAACAUUUUUAAUACAUUCGUAGAAUGUUUAGGGAAUUGCGUAUAUAGGAAGGCAUUUUGUGAAAAUUCUGUAGUAAUAUAUAGAGUGGGAAAGCGGCUGUGCGUUUGGACAAUUAACAGACACUGCAGUACAUAAAACCUAAUAAAAACAUCUGUCUCGUCCAGGACCGGAGUCUACGCAGAUUGGUGGGCCUUUUAGCCAAUCAGAGGUACGGUAGGACCUAUAUGCAAACAAAGCCAUUUGCCACACGGGCCUGCCAUCAUUCACUUUGAACUGGACUGUGUGUUUACAGGUAUUUGCAACAGCGAGACAUUAGAAUGCAUUCGGCAAAAGCCACAAAAUACACACCUGAAUGGAUUUCUGCAAAUAUGUAAAUACCACGGGAGAGUCCUCUUACGUUUGGGAACUUGCCAGUCCUAUUGGUCAAACAACCAUGAAAAGGUAGACUCUCUCUCUCUCAGUUAUACACAUCAACAACCAUGAAAAGGUAGACUCU